AUGGCGAUGAUGAUGGCUGAUCUUAGCUUUUCAGCGUCUAUAUCGAAUGCCAAACUACCAAGGUAUGGAAAUGACUCUUCCUUGGUUAAGAGAUCUUCAAUGUUCCGAGCAGAAGCCCGGUCCACAGAAUCCGAGAAAUAUACUACCAAUGGCCGAUCGAGGAAGAUGGUUCCAACAACCGAAUUGAUGAGGAGCAAGGGCGGUGGCCGUGCAAGAACAGAUACAGUUAAUGGUUCUCUGAAUGGAGCUGUCAAUGGCUCAACCAAGGCGGUCAUCAACGGUUCUACAAAUGGCGUUGUCAACGGUUCGACCAGAGCAGUCAUUAACGGUUCUCCAAAGGUGGUUGUUACUGGGACCAGUUUGGUGAAUGGCAGCAACAUGUCUUCUCUAGUUAAGACCCAGAAGCAAAUGAGUGCUAGAGAUGACCCCUUUGAAGAGGAGCUCAAGGUUUUGCCAUCUGACGAGGGAUUCAGUUGGGCAAAGGCUAACUACAACUCUGUGCAGAGGAGUAUAGAUAUCUGGUCUUUCGUGCUUUCUCUUCGAAUACGUAUUUUAUUUGACAAUGCAAAAUGGGCCUAUCCAGGUGGAUUCUCAGAGGAAAAUCAGAAAAUCCGGAGGAGAAACACUGCAUCAUGGUUAAGAGAACAAGUAUUGCAGCUUGGCCCAACUUUUAUCAAGCUUGGACAGCUAUCCUCCACAAGAUCUGAUUUGUUCCCAAAAGAAUUCGUUGAUGAGCUUGCAAAAUUGCAGGACAGAGUACCUGCAUUUUCUCCUGAGAAGGCAAAGGCUUUCAUAGAGAAGGAAAUGGGGUGCUCAGUUGAUGUUGCGUUCAAAGAAUUUGAGGACCGUCCAAUAGCUGCUGCUAGUCUUGGUCAGGUACAUCGUGCGGUGCUUCAUAAUGGAGAGAGAGUUGCAGUGAAAGUUCAACGACCAGGGCUCAGAAAACUUUUUGAUAUUGACCUAAGGAAUCUAAAGCUAGUAGCCGAGUAUUUUCAGAGAAGUGAAAAAUUUGGAGGUCCUUCAAGGGACUGGAUUGGUAUUUAUGAUGAAUGUUCCAAAAUUUUGUAUGAAGAAAUUGAUUACAUCAAUGAAGGAAAGAAUGCAGACAGAUUUCGUCGAGAUUUCAGAAACAUAAAAUGGGUUCGCGUGCCACUUAUCAUGUGGGAUUACACAACUGAAAAGGUGUUAACCCUGGAGUAUGCUCCUGGUAUUAAGAUAAACAACUUGGCGGUGCUAGACAGCCGGGGAUAUAGUCGUUCUCUGAUUGCAUCCCGUUCAAUAGAGUCGUACCUCAUUCAGAUACUGAAGACCGGUUUCUUCCAUGCUGAUCCUCAUCCUGGAAACCUUGCCAUAGACAAGGAUGGCUCUCUAAUAUAUUAUGAUUUUGGAAUGAUGGGUGAAAUCAAAUCAUUCACUCGAGAUAGAUUACUCUCCUUGUUCUAUGCCGUGUAUGAGAAGGAUGCGAACAAGGUUAUAAAAGCUUUAAUUGAUCUGGAAGCUCUUCAGCCAACAGGAGACCUCUCGCCGGUAAGAAGGUCCGUACAAUAUUUCUUGGACAAUCUGCUGAGCCAGUCACCGGAUCAACAGCAGACUCUAGCUGCAAUUGGAGAGGACUUGUUUGCAAUUGCGCAAGAUCAACCUUUCCGUUUUCCUUCCACAUUUACGUUCGUCAUAAGGGCAUUCUCAACUCUUGAAGGCAUCGGGUACAUACUGGAUCCUGAUUUUUCCUUUGUCAAAGUUGCUGCACCAUAUGCACAGGAACUGCUAGACUUGAAAACGAGACGAAGAGCUGGACCUGAAUUAGUCCAGGAGAUAAGAAAGCAAGCAAAUGAUGCCCGUGAUUCUACGAUCUCAAUGCCCUACAGAAUCCAACGGAUCGAGGAUUUUGUGGGGCAACUCGAGUCGGGUGAUCUGAAACUCAGAGUCAGAGUACUUGAGUCGGAACGAGCUGCUCGUAAAGCUAACGUACUUCAGAUGGCGACCAUGUAUACAGCCAUGGGUGGUACUCUCUUGAAUAUUGGGGUCGUCAUGGGUAGUCAAGGAAACCAAAUAGUCGCAAAUGGGUCUUUCAUCGGCGCAGGCAUUUUCUUGGCAUUAUUGGUUGCAUCUAUGCGAAGAGUGAAGAAACUCGAGAAAUUCGAGACGAUGAUGUGA
rnacentral:rRNA from 1 species